rnacentral:ncRNA from 1 species
GUGAUAAGGUCCAUUGCCGAGAGGGAAACAGCCCAGACCAUCGUCUAAGGUCCCCAAGUUAUCACUAAGUGGGAAAGGAUGUAAAGAAACCAAAACAACCAGGAGGUUGGCUUAGAAGCAGCCAUCCUUUAAAGAAAGCGUAAUAGCUCACUGGUCUAAAUAAGUUUUUUUGCGCCGAAAAUGUAACGGGGCUCAAGUGAUACACCGAAGACAUGGAUUUAUUUGAUUGAUUUCAAAUAAGUGGUAGCGAAGCGUUGUGUAAGUCUGUGAAGGUGAACCGUCAGGUUUGCUGGAGAUAUCACAAGUGAGAAUGCCGACAUGAGUAACGAUAAAACGAGUGAGAAACUCGUUCGCCGAAAAUCUAAGGUUUCCUACGUAAAGUUAAUCUGCGUAGGGUUAGUCGAGACCUAAGACGAGGCCGAAAGGCGUAGUCGAUGGAAAUUGGGUUAAUAUUCCCAAACCAAGUGGUGAGUGACGGAGCGUACUUUUUCGUAAUGCCUUAUUGGAUUGGCAUUGCGGCGAGGUUGCUUCCAGGAAAUAGCCCCACAUUAAGCUCGUACCAAAACCGACACAGGUAGAUGGGUUGAAAAUACCAAGGCGCUUGAGAGAACUACACUGAAGGAACUAGGCAAAAUACAUCCGUAAGUUCGCGAGAAGGAUGGCCAUCUUUGGGUAACCAAAGAAUGGUGGCACAGAAAUGGGGGUAGCGACUGUUUAUCAAAAACACAGGGCUCUGCUAAAUCAUGAAGAUGAUGUAUAGGGUCUGACGCCUGCCCGGUGCUGGAAGGUUAAGUGAUGAUGUGAGAGCAUUUGAUCGAAGCCCCAGUAAACGGCGGCCGUAACUAUGACGGUCCUAAGGUUAGAUGAACGCAGCCUUAGUAAAACCAAACCAUAUGCGGGAAACUCCUCUAAAGCUGAUCAGUACUCAUCAGCCUCUAUUAGUUGGCAACAGUGAUGUUGUUUCAUAUGACCGCAAGGUCUUUAAUAUCACAACUGAUAUGCUGGCAGUAAAAAUCUGACAGAUAUGUGGACAAUCCGCAGGAAAGGCUUUUUUAAGCGUCAUGCUUUUAAAAGAAUCCUCAGAGACUUUACGUUUGGGAGGUAUAUAUGAUUCUAGAAUCGCAAUGGAUUGUGGGUUUUGUCGAUGGUGAAGGUUGUUUUCAUGUGAGUAUAAAUAUUCACAAAGAAAUGACAAUCGGGUAUCAAGUUUUACCUGAAUUCACUGUUGUACAACACAAAAGAGAUGUGCAGGUGUUAUAUGCUCUAAAAGAAUAUUUUGGUUGUGGAGUUGUAAGAACAAACCAUGGCGACAGAAUGUGUUAUAGAGUUCGUAGCAUUGAUAAUCUUUUAAAAAACAUAAUUCCAUUUUUUGUCAAACAUACAUUAAAAACAAAAAAAAAUGUUGAUUUUGCAAAAUUUCGACAAAUUUUGUUGAUGAUGCAAGACAAUAAACACUUGACGAGCGAGGGCAUUGAAGAAAUUCGUGCAAUUGCGAAUCAGAUGAAUCGAAAAAAUACUUCAAGAUAAAGUCCGACUGGUCUAGAAAUAGACAUAGAAUAUUCGAGCGAAAUUCCUUGUCGGGUAAAUUAUUGCCCCAAUAUUUCUGCAAAGAAAUAACGAAAAACCAACUCAUAUCGGGGAAACCUUACUGUAAUUUGGUCAUUACAGAUGGCAAUCCCGAGGGAAGUUUUUAAAAUUUAUAUUUAUAUCUUUUAAAUAACCCCGUAACGACUGAUCCGAAAGGUGAGGCGCGAUUUUUCAAAUUGCGCAAAACGUUGGUGGCUUACUCUUUUAACCUUGGCUUUUCAAAGUUUAGGAUUAAAAGAAGCAAUUAUCUAUGGAGGCUAAAUGCAAUUAAAUCAAUGGUUUGUAACCGGAUUAGUUGAAGGUGAAGGUUGUUUUUCAAUAUCUUUUACACUUCGCGAGAAGUUAAAAUUUGGCAUUGAAACAAGACCAUCAUUUUCAAUAUCUCUUAAUCAGCGAGAUUUAUCUUUAAUCAAAAAUCUGCAUUCUUUUUUCAAAUGUGGCGCUGUUAGAUUUUCUAAAUCUGACAGAACUUAUAAAUUUGAAGUUAGAGCGCUUGAUGAUUUGAUGAAUAAAAUAAUUCCGCAUUUUGAGAAAUAUCAACUACAAGGUGAUAAACAAAAGAAUUUCUUAAAAUUUAAAGAAAUUUGUCAUAAAAUGCGUGCAAAUUUGCACUUUAACAAGGAGCAUUUUAUUCAAUUGAUCGAAAUUGCAUAUUCUAUGAAUGAAUCUGGAAAGAGGAAGCAUAGUAAAAACGAUCUCCUGAAAAUAAUUAGUAAGUCAAUGGUAUAGUCUACUUCAAUUGGAAACAAUUGGCAAAAGUGAAGUUCCGACCCGCACGAAUGGCGUAACGACUUCCCCGCUGUCUCCAGUGUAGACUCAGUGAAAUUGAAUUUGCCGUUAAGAUGCGGUAUUCCUGCGGUUAGACGGAAAGACCCCGUGCACCUUUACUAUAACUUUACACUGAAAUUAAAAAUGCGCUGUGUAGCAUAAGUGGGAGACUUUGAAGCCUAGGCGUCAGCUUAGGUGGAGUCACCAGUGAAAUACCACUCUGCUUAUUUUUGAUUUCUAACUACAGCGGCUAUAUCGUCGCUUAGAACACUGUAUGGUGGGUAGUUUGACUGGGGCGGUCGCCUCCCAAAGAGUAACGGAGGCGCGCAAUGGUAGGCUCAAACUGGACGGAAAUCAGUUUUAGAGUGUAAUGGCACAAGCUUGCCUGACUGCGAGACUGACAAGUCGAGCAGAGACGAAAGUCGGUCAUAGUGAUCCGGUGGUUCUGUAUGGAAGGGCCAUCGCUCAACGAAUAAAAGGUACGCCGGGGAUAACAGGCUGAUCUUGCCCAAGAGUUCAUAUCGACGGCAAGGUUUGGCACCUCGAUGUCGGCUCAUCACAUCCUGGGGCUGAAGAAGGUCCCAAGAGUACGAGAGGACCGAGUUGAACAUACCAAUGGUGUUCCAGUUGUUCCGCCAGGGGCAUUGCUGGGUAGCUAAGUAUGGACGGGAUAACCGCUGAAAGCAUCUAAGUGGGAAGCCUCCCUCAAAACAAAUUUUCCCAAUUAGGGUCGUGGAAGACUACCACGUUGAUAGGCUGGGUGUGUAAGAGCGGUGACGCUUUAAGCUAACCAGUACUAAUAACUCGAUUGGUUUAUUUUU